GAGGAUGUGCUGAGUAAAGACGCUGGGGAGUGUGCAAUAUGCCUGGAAGAGCUGCAGCAAGGAGAUACGAUAGCACGGCUGCCUUGCCUCUGCAUAUAUCAUAAAGGCUGCAUAGAUGAAUGGUUUGAAGUAAAUAGAUCUUGCCCUGAGCAUCCAUCAGAUUAAGACAAGAAUCAUGUUUUUAGCUGCUUCCACUGGUCAGAAAACAUAGGAGAUGUGAGGUUCCCUGGCCCAACACAGCGUGCCUGGCUUGAGACUUACGGUUCGUGGUGGCUGAAGAAGGCAAAGAUGGACAUUGACAUGGAGAAAGCAUUGCAGACACCGGUUACUUGCUGGUUGUGCUCGGUAUACCAAACACUCAUGCAAAGGACACACAGGGAUUUUGAAAAUGCUGCACAUUCUGGUAACAAUCGACUCCCCCCAGACAUUACUGACACUCUUUUGUAUCAAAGGCCAAAGUUCCUAAUUUUAGCCUCACUUCUGGUUCUGUGAAGAAGCGGGUUAUUGGACAUGUUUCCUACUGCCUCAAGUGGAAGCAGAGACGUUCAAUACGUGCUAUCGGAGACCCUUGUAGGAGGAUGGCCUCGGUUUUGAGUGGGAACGUUUUCACCUUCUUGUUGGCUGAAGAAGAGUCAAUGGCAAACUAAAUAUAACAUAACAGUGUGACCUUAAUUUACUGAAUUCACACCCUGUUUUACGUUCUUCACUUUUUUUCAAGAACAGAAAACAUAAACCUCUCCGCAUAGGAAUACUGUAUUUCAACAUUUUGUAACUAAACCUUUGUCACAAUGCAGUCCAAAGAGUAAAACCAAGACAGGUAACUAA